rnacentral:rRNA from 1 species
CACAUGCAAGUCGAGCGGAUGAAGGGAGCUUGCUCCCUGAUUUAGCGGCGGACGGGUGAGUAAUGCCUAGGAAUCUGCCUGGUAGUGGGGAUAACGUUCCGAAAGGAACGCUAAUACCGCAUACGUCCUACGGGAGAAAGCAGGGGACCUUCGGGCCUUGCGCUAUCAGAUGAGCCUAGGUCGGAUUAGCUAGUUGGUGAGGUAAUGGCUCACCAAGGCGACGAUCCGUAACUGGUCUGAGAGGAUGAUCAGUCACACUGGAACUGAGACACGGUCCAGACUCCUACGGGAGGCAGCAGUGGGGAAUAUUGGACAAUGGGCGAAAGCCUGAUCCAGCCAUGCCGCGUGUGUGAAGAAGGUCUUCGGAUUGUAAAGCACUUUAAGUUGGGAGGAAGGGCAGUAAGCUAAUACCUUGCUGUUUUGACGUUACCGACAGAAUAAGCACCGGCUAACUUCGUGCCAGCAGCCGCGGUAAUACGAAGGGUGCAAGCGUUAAUCGGAAUUACUGGGCGUAAAGCGCGCGUAGGUGGUUCGUUAAGUUGGAUGUGAAAGCCCCGGGCUCAACCUGGGAACUGCAUCCAAAACUGGCGAGCUAGAGUACGGUA